GGCUCUGCCUGGGGAAGCGGCGAGGCCUGGGGCCCUGGUCAGCUGCUCUGACGCCUUGGUGCUCCCGGGGGCAUCUCCAGGCUCACCCCAGCUUCCACGGCCCUGUCUCACGGGUCAAAGGGCCACUCAAAAGCUGCUUUGAAGACGGGGGCCCAGCCAGGAGCCGCACAGGCCUCUCCCGAGGGUCUAGGUGGCUAGAAGGGCACAAGCCACACGGCGUCGCGUCGAGAGACUGAAAUUGUCUAUGAACCGCCCUCGCCGGGUUUGAGACUAGAGAGCUGGUGUUUACACGACGUCGCAAACACCAUAAAGGGCACUAAACUGUUUCUUUAAAAGCCUUCUUUUUUUUUGAGACGGAGUCACUCUGUCGCCCAGGCUGGAGUGCAGUGGUGAGAUCUUGGCUCACUGCAACCUCCGCCUCCUGGGUUCAAGCGAUUCUCCCGCCUGAGCCUCCUGAGUAGCUGGGAUUAU
rnacentral:lncRNA from 1 species